GAUGAACGCUGGCGGCGUGCCUAAUACAUGCAAGUCGAGCGAACGGACGAGAAGCUUGCUUCUCUGAUGUUAGCGGCGGACGGGUGAGUAACACGUGGAUAACCUACCUAUAAGACUGGGAUAACUUCGGGAAACCGGAGCUAAUACCGGAUAAUAUUUUGAACCGCAUGGUUCAAAAGUGAAAGACGGUCUUGCUGUCACUUAUAGAUGGAUCCGCGCUGCAUUAGCUAGUUGGUAAGGUAACGGCUUACCAAGGCAACGAUGCAUAGCCGACCUGAGAGGGUGAUCGGCCACACUGGAACUGAGACACGGUCCAGACUCCUACGGGAGGCAGCAGUAGGGAAUCUUCCGCAAUGGGCGAAAGCCUGACGGAGCAACGCCGCGUGAGUGAUGAAGGUCUUCGGAUCGUAAAACUCUGUUAUUAGGGAAGAACAUAUGUGUAAGUAACUGUGCACAUCUUGACGGUACCUAAUCAGAAAGCCACGGCUAACUACGUGCCAGCAGCCGCGGUAAUACGUAGGUGGCAAGCGUUAUCCGGAAUUAUUGGGCGUAAAGCGCGCGUAGGCGGUUUUUUAAGUCUGAUGUGAAAGCCCACGGCUCAACCGUGGAGGGUCAUUGGAAACUGGAAAACUUGAGUGCAGAAGAGGAAAGUGGAAUUCCAUGUGUAGCGGUGAAAUGCGCAGAGAUAUGGAGGAACACCAGUGGCGAAGGCGACUUUCUGGUCUGUAACUGACGCUGAUGUGCGAAAGCGUGGGGAUCAAACAGGAUUAGAUACCCUGGUAGUCCACGCCGUAAACGAUGAGUGCUAAGUGUUAGGGGGUUUCCGCCCCUUAGUGCUGCAGCUAACGCAUUAAGCACUCCGCCUGGGGAGUACGACCGCAAGGUUGAAACUCAAAGGAAUUGACGGGGACCCGCACAAGCGGUGGAGCAUGUGGUUUAAUUCGAAGCAACGCGAAGAACCUUACCAAAUCUUGGCAUCCUUUGACAACUCUAGAGAUAGAGCCUUCCCCUUCGGGGGACAAAGUGACAGGUGGUGCAUGGUUGUCGUCAGCUCGUGUCGUGAGAUGUUGGGUUAAGUCCCGCAACGAGCGCAACCCUUAAGCUUAGUUGCCAUCAUUAAGUUGGGCACUCUAAGUUGACUGCCGGUGACAAACCGGAGGAAGGUGGGGAUGACGCCAAAUCAUCAUGCCCCUUAUGAUUUGGGCUACACACGUGCUACAAUGGACAAUACAAAGGGCAGCGAAACCGCGAGGUCAAGCAAAUCCCAUAAAGUUGUUCUCAGUUCGGAUUGUAGUCUGCAACUCGACUACAUGAAGCUGGAAUCGCUAGUAAUCGUAGAUCAGCAUGCUACGGUGAAUACGUUCCCGGGUCU
rnacentral:rRNA from 1 species